rnacentral:rRNA from 1 species
UACGUAGGGCGCAAGCGUUGUCCGGAAUUAUUGGGCGUAAAGAGCUCGUAGGCGGUCUGUCGCGUCGGUUGUGAAAACCCAAGGCUCAACCUUGGGCCUGCAAUCGAUACGGGCAGACUAGAGUACUGCAGGGGAGACUGGAAUUCCUGGUGUAGCGGUGGAAUGCGCAGAUAUCAGGAGGAACACCGGUGGCGAAGGCGGGUCUCUGGGCCGUAACUGACGCUGGAGGAGCGAAAGCGUGGGGAGCGAACAGG